rnacentral:rRNA from 1 species
AGUGAACGCUGGCGGUAGGCCUAACACAUGCAAGUCGAACGGCAGCACAGUAAGAGCUUGCUCUUACGGGUGGCGAGUGGCGGACGUGUGAGGAAUACAUCGGAAUCUACUUUUUCGUGGGGGUUAACGUAGGGAAACUUACGCUAAUAUCGCAUACGCCCUACGGGGGAAAGCAGUGGAUCUUCGGACCUUGCGCGAUUGAAUGAGCGGAUGUCGGGUUAGCUAGUUGGCGGGGUAAUGGCCCACCAAGGCGAGGAUCCGUAGCUGGUCUGAGAGGAUGAUCAGCCACACUGGAACUGAGACACGGUCCAGACGCCUACGGGAGGCAGCAGUGGGGAAUAUUAGACAAUGGGCGCAAGCCUGAUCCAGCCAUACCGCGUGGGUGAAGAAGGCCUUCGGGUUGUAAAGCCCUUUUGUUGGGAAAGAAAAGCAGCAGGUUAAUACCCCGCUGUUCUGACGGUACCCAAAGAAUAAGCACCGGCUAACUUCGUG